GAUGAACGCUGGCGGCGUGCCUAAUACAUGCAAGUCGAGCGAAGCGGGGACGGGUGAGUAACACGUGGAUAACCUCCUAUAAGACUGGGAUAACUUCGGGAAACCGUAGCUAAACCGGGUACUUAUAGAUGGACCCGGGCUGCAUUAGCUAGUUGGUAAGGUAACGGCUUACCAAGGCAACGAUGCAUAGCCGACCUGUGAGGGGGACCGGCCACACUGGAACUGGGACACGGUCCAGACUCCUACGGGAGGCGGCAGUAGGGAAUCUUCCGCAAUGGGGGAAAGCCUGACGGGGCAAGGCCGCGUGAGUGAUGAAGGUCUUCGGUUCGUAAAACUCUGUUAUUAGGGAAGCGGUACCGAAUCAGAAAGCCACGGCUAACUACGUGCCAGCAGCCGCGGUAAUUC
rnacentral:rRNA from 1 species